rnacentral:rRNA from 1 species
CCUACGGGAGGCAGCAGUGAGGAAUAUUGGUCAAUGGACGAGAGUCUGAACCAGCCAAGUAGCGUGAAGGAUGACUGCCCUAUGGGUUGUAAACUUCUUUUAUAUGGGAAUAAAAUGUUCCACGUGUGGGAUUUUGUAUGUACCAUAUGAAUAAGGAUCGGCUAACUCCGUGCCAGCAGCCGCGGUAAUACGGAGGAUCCGAGCGUUAUCCGGAUUUAUUGGGUUUAAAGGGAGCGUAGGUGGAUUGUUAAGUCAGUUGUGAAAGUUUGCGGCGCAACCGUAAAAUUGCAGUUGAAACUGGCAGUCUGGAGUACAGUAGAGGUGGGCGGAAGUCGUGGUGUAGCGGUGAAAUGCUUAGAUAUCACGAAGAACUCCGAUUGCGAAGGCAGCUCACUGGACUGCAACUGACACUGAGGCUCGAAAGUGUGGGUAUCAAACAGGAUUAGAUACCCCUGUAGUC